UAAUACAUUGCCAACCCAUCAUUAUGAGGAAAAGAAGAUAUUAUGUUCAAUGGGUAUAGAGUACUAGAAAAUUCAUGUUUGUCCUAAUGUUAAGGCAUUUCAACAAAGAAGCAUGUACAAUUUUUUUUUUCAUUAGAAUGAUACACUUCUUAAAUUAACACAAUCUUUUUAUUUAAUUUUGUUAUUAACUUUAGUAGGACCAUGGGAGACAAAAGUCCCCAAUUGCAUGUGAUUUUAGCCUUGAGCCACAAUCCCAACCCCA
rnacentral:lncRNA from 1 species